rnacentral:rRNA from 18 species
GUGAGAGACCACUCUGAAAAAGCUAGAAUCCUAAUAGUACUCCUUGAAUCAGGAUACUUGACAGUUUCAGGCGGACCUUUUUUCUGGGGCGGAAUCCUCCUAAAAGGUAACGGAGGCGUGCAAAGGCUCCCUCAGGCUGGACGGAAAUCAGCUGUAGAGUGUAAAGGUAGAAGGGGGCUUGACUGCAAGACCUACAAGUCGAGCAGGGGUGAAAGCCGGCCUUAGUGAUCCGACGGUACCGUGUGGAAGGGCCGUCGCUCAACGGA